ACUCAAAUGAAUUGACGGGGGCCCGCACAAGCGGUGGAGCAUGUGGUUUAAUUCGAUGCAACGCGAAGAACCUUACCAGGUCUUGACAUGGGAAGUUUGAGCGCCGGAGACGGUGUUCUUCAGUUCGGCUGGCUUCCACACAGGUGCUGCAUGGCUGUCGUCAGCUCGUGUCGUGAGAUGUUGGGUUAAGUCCCGCAACGAGCGCAACCCUCGCUUCCAGUUACCAUCAUUCAGUUGGGUACUCUGGAGGAACUGCCGGUGACAAGCCGGAGGAAGGUGGGGAUGACGUCAAGUCCUCAUGGCCCUUACGACCUGGGCUACACACGUGCUACAAUGGCGGUGACAAUGGGCUGCGACCCCGCAAGGGCGAGCUAAUCCAUAAAAGCCGUCUCAGUUCGGAUUGUACUCUGCAACUCGAGUGCAUGAAGUUGGAAUCGCUAGUAAUCGCGGAUCAGCAUGCCGCGGUGAAUACGUUCUCGGGCCUUGUACACACCGCCCGU
rnacentral:rRNA from 1 species